AGCAUUAGAUUCCAUCCACCAAAACCACCUUGGUCGAGAGGGACUGAGAUGGAAUGAUGGAAAAAAAUUACGAAGCUACGACAACAUGCCGACUUAUCCCGAUGACCCAAGUGUAUUAUUUGUUUGGGAAAUUGCGUCAAAACUUUUUACUAAAGAAAUGACCAGACUGGAACCUCUAUAGGUGUGUUUGCUUGUUUUGAGUGGGGAUGGAAGAAAAGGAGUCAUGCCGCAUAUCUGAUUUAUUAAAUUGGAUUUGUUCUGUUUAUACAUGAGUAGAACUACCUUGUUCUCUGAAAAAAAAAAUUUCUCGCAUUUUUAUCUGUGCUUUGCAGUCAAACUUCCUUGUGUCUUGGACAAGAAAUCUUAUUUUCUUGAAAACAAAAUCUUUGUUUCCAGCCUUCUGUAAUAGGUAAAUAUAACAGUGUAAGAUGAGUGACAGUGUAUUUCUCAAGUUAUUUUUUGGAAUGUGACAAAACGGAAGUGUCAUAGUGUGAUAAGGAGCCAACAUAUGAUUGCUUGAUAGAAAGCAAAAAAUGCAGAAUUGCAUAUAUUUUCUCCUUUGUCAGCAGCAUAUGUUAGUGAAAAGUUCUUAUAAUUGUUAACUUCUAAACCAUCUUCAAUUUAGUCAAGAUUGAACUGUUAUCACGUUUGUCAUAAAAGUAUUCUGAGAUCAAUGUCAUAUGACCCAUUCAUGUAUUUGACCUUUUGAAUUAGCAAGCCAUAGUUGACAGAAACACAAAGGUUGAGGAUAAAAAGAAAUUAUUAUAUACAGUACUUCUUCUGCA